AAUUGUCAGUACAUUAUUCUAUAGAGUUAAUUGCUCAAUUGCCGGGAAUAAAUACUUCAUUAGCGGCAAUUAAAAACAAUAGCCACUAAACUUAUGCUUUCCGCUAUCAUUGCAUUAUAUUUUAUCUUUUUUUUUUUUUCCGAAUCAUUAGUAUUUUAACUUCCCUCCCAUAUUUUUGGCACGCUAAAUAUUCCCUCCAAAAAAAUAUUCUCUCUUUUAGAAUCAAUUUACUCAUAUUUGUAGCCAAAACCCUAGCAGCCAAAAUCGAUGAGUGACUUGAACUUUCUGCGACAAUAUCUUCUCCAUCUCUUUCUAAGACAAGCUUGUUGUCGUUCUAUACUGUUGACAGGGUGAAGCAUUUUUAUGGUAUUGUGCUCAAGCUUUGCUUCCGAUGCACGUUAGAAUUCCAAGUUAUAUUGCGUAAUUUGCGACUUUCAUCGAAGGAGAUCUUGAGAAAAUUGAUUUGAAUUUCUCGAUCAACUUGCACAAGCCUAACAUUGUCAUCACAGCUCUAUUCAUGUUUUCUAUAUGGACAUAUAUUUCAUUUGAAACUUUCAUAUCUAAUGCUUUAAUGAAAUUAAGGAAUCAUGGAGGUAUGACAAUUUGGAAUAUUUUACUUGUAAAUCUUCCAAAACUACAUUGUUCUGCCGAUGCUCUUUUAAUUUAAGUUCCCAAACUGCAUGGCUACAUCGCUUUUUAUUUGUGGGAGGAGGAAUUGGUGGAGGGUGGUCAGCGUUUCUAAUCGUAAGAUUAGUAAUUGUACUUAUGUAAGAGGAUUCAUAUGAAAUAAUUGACAUACUAAGGAAGUGUUAGAUUGGUCUUAGAUAGAGUUUCCUUGUAUGUGGGUUUGGAAUUUUAUGAGUAAAUCAUCUGAUAUAGUUGGUCUUGAAAAUUUGUUUAUCUUUUGUUUUUUAAUUAAUGGUGCUCAAUAGGUGUCAAAGUGUCACGACCCAAAUCGGAGAGCCACGACUGAUAGCCAAGACCCUACUCGGCUGAGUGUCAUACUACGAUUCCAUCCAGGAGUCACAACUCUUUGUGAACCUUUAAUCUACGAAAUGACGCUUCCGUCAAGUAAAAAAACUUUUCAAUAAAACUCUUUCGUCAAAUCAGGGACUUCUCCCUUAUCGUUAAUUCAAAGAAAACCUUUAGUCACAAUAAAAUCUUUUAAAAAAAUAAAGUAUAAAAACACAUCAACCUAUAUGGUCGCUUUACACAACUGUCGACAUCUCGACGCACUAUCCAUAGGACACUGUCUGCAAAAGUCUCUAACGUAUACGAGAUAACAUAACAUAAGUACUCUGACUCGGCAACACUCCGAACUGAGAUGGAGCUCACCAAUCCAGCUAAUAGCUUGGGAACAUCCUAUAGCCAGUGUCUUCUACUCAUUUGUAUAUACUUGCAUGGCAUGAAACGCAGCGUCCACAAGAAGGGACGUCAGUACGAAUAAUGUACUGAGUAUGUAAGGCAUGAACAACAACAUAAUAAGAAAUAUAGAACAUAACAAGGGAUAAAGAUGACCUGUGCAUUUGAUUGCCUCUUAAGGCGGAUACCAUACAUGCAACUUUAACCUUUUUAAAUCGAUAUGUACAUAAAAUCAUGGAAGACAUCUGAGACAUUUCAAUGAAUGUGCAAAGAUAAAUAAAUCAUUAUGGCUAUAUCAACAAAACACAUAUCUCUAUAGAAAUGCCACAAUAUAGGCCACAUCGUCACCCCUAAAAACAUCACAACAUAGGCCACAGCGUCACCCACUGUCAACUGUGCCUGUGCCUUAUAUAUAUAAAUAACACAUCAUAGGCCACAGCGUCACCCCCUGUCAACUGUGCCUUAUAUAUAUAAACACCACAUCACAGGCCACAGCGUCACCCUCUGUCAACUGUGCUUUAUAUGUAUAAACAUCACAUCAUAGGCCACAACGUCACCCCCUGUCAACUGUGCCUUAUAUAUAUACAUCAGAACAAAGGCCACAUCGUCACCCCCUGUCAACUGUGCCUUAUAUAUACAUACAUCACAACAAAGGUCACAUCGUCACCCCCUGUCAACUGUGUAUAUAUAUAUACAUGAAGAAUGAGAAUGAGUGCAGUGCAUAAGCAAAAUGAAAUAGUAGAACUUGGUAAUGUCACAAAAUAACUUUAUGCACAUAUUAUACUCAUAGCAUGCAUGAGGGUUCAAAUAUAAGCUACUACUUUAGCAAAGUGACGUAAGGUCGGUAAUCGCCGACUUAUAUUAUGGAAUAAUCAUCAUCGCUUUAUCUCAGCUUAAAGGAACAAUUAUUAUAAGGCGAGACCAACAACAAUGAAUAAAAUCGAGAAAUCAUGAAAUAAGCUCAAUAAUCUCAUAAAAGCCUUGAUCUCAUAACUUGAUACUUUUAACCAUAAAAUCAUCAUCAUCAUAAUCAUCAUAGAAAAUAUUCUCAUCUUUGACAUCAUCAUUAUCAUCGUAAAAAAACAUGUUCAUCGUUGUUAUCAUAAGAGCUCACAGAAUCAUAAAUCUCUGGUUUGGAAAAUACGGGCAUUUUGGAAAACAUUUAUGGAUUAUCGGGAAAGGAAUCAUACCUUGGAGUCAUAAACUUUUAUCUUUUGAAAACAAAGAAGUUAUGGAAGCAUUUAUGAUAUCGUACCAUAGGGAUCAUGACUUUGAAAGAAAGGGACGAGCCUUAACAUACCUGAUUGAUCUCCUACGAAUUAACGCUUAUUCUCCCGAAUUUGCAAAUCUAAACUCAAGAGAAAUUACACUACCGUUAGACUUAUCGUCAUAUGCCUAUCUCAAGUCCUUAAACCAAACUCCUUUAGAAUCUGCCAAAAUUCGGGUAGCAUCUCCCCUGUUUAUAUGCCUAGCCCGAAAUCACAAUCCAGCAACCAACAAUAACAACAACAAUACCAACAUCAACAACAAUAUUAUCAAUACCAAUAUAUUCCAUAAAACAUCCCACACGAUGUUUUUCAACAUACAACAACAAUAUACACUUCCUUUCUUCCCAAUCAAGGAGCAUAAUCUCAUCAACACACCAACAACAUUAUAUACCAUCUCUAUACAUGUAAAUCAGCCCAGCCACAUGGCCACAACAUGCUCAAAGCAGUCCAUAAACACAACAACUACAACACGACACUUUAUGACCUUUCCUCCAUAACUAUUUUCACUUUUAAGACUUGCUACACCUUCAAAUCCACUCAACAUAAGAUAUAGGAUGAAGAACAUACCUUAUACUUGAAUAAAUUCAGCCACACCAACUUUCUUCAAGACCAAACAUACCACAACAUCAAGUAGAAGCAAGAACAAUCACCUUCCAUGGAAUAAUUUGGUGUAAUCUUGUUACAUUCUUGAUUUAAUGGGUUAUAAAUGUUUGGGGGUUGUGUUGAGAAGUUUCUAGGACUAUUGAGAAUGUAAAAUGCUGAAAUAAUGGAUUUAAUGUGGGUAUUUACACCCCUCAUAAGUCGGUUGCACCGACCUUCUCAAGUGGGACCCGCGGAAGCCAUUUGGCACCUUGAAGUCUUUAUCUUAAAAUGGCCAUAACUCUUGAUUCCGAUAUCGUAUGAGGGUCCACGACCUAUGGUUAAAAAGAUCUUUCCAUUAUCUAAAACUUUCAUUUUGGUGUGUUUCCAAAUUCUAAACUUAUAAUAGCAUUUUGGCCCCUCCAAGUCAAAUCAUCCGAAAACGUAUCCUUAAAUCAUCCUUUUGGAGGGCUUAUGCACAUAUUUGACUUCAGGGUCCUUCUUAAGACUUGCUCAACUUCCCAUGUACUACUCAUCACUUUUCAUAUGUCCUUUAUAAAAUUCCGACAUGUGGGCCCCACCUUAACUUAUGGUUACGAGGGCUAUUCAUCAAGUAACAUGUUAACUGAUUACUCCAUAGGGUCUCCAAAUGUCAUAUAUAUGUUAUUCUUAUACUCAUAUAAUAUAAUCUUCAUCCCUAGUCCUUGUAUAACUUUACUCUCCCUUGAGCUCAUACUAAGCCGUCUACAGCCUUGGUAACAUGAAUUUUUUCGGGGUGUAACACAAAGUUUCUGUUGGACCAUUAUUAUUGGAGUAUAUUUGUUGAACUUAUUAGUGAAUCUUAGACUAUGCUCACCUUAUAAUAAGGAGUUUCAGUUUGUCAUGUCUUAUUUAACAAAUCUCUUGAGUAUCAAAGUUUCAAAAGUGUAAAAUGCUCAUAAUGUUCCACUAGAUUUGAUUAUAAUAUCUAGUGGACCAAUAUUAGGACCCCUAAUGUUGGAAUGGAGGUUUUUUUUAUGAUGCAUUUCUUAGCCUACACACAAAGAGAAAAUACUAGAUCCUAUAACAUCAAACAAUAGAAAUUUCAAAUUAGAAUAAAAGACAUUCAAAUAUUUUGUACAAUUUUACUAGAAGGGAUACAUACAGAGUUCGAGCUAAUUGAAAUAUGCCAUAAAGAAAAAAACUCAGACUGAUCUAAGCAGUUUUUAUUGCAUCUAAGUUAUGUGGAACAUGUACUUUUGAUAGAAUGGCAUGGUGGCUUGAAAGGCUCUAUUAAAGCACUAUUAGAUUUUUCUCAUGACUAUCGUAAUCUAUACUCUCGUAUUGUCUUUAUUAUUUUGGGGUGUCUGGUGUUUGAUGCAGGGGUAUAGAGAUUACUGGAGUAUUGUCAUUACAGAUUGAAGUUUAGAAAUAGCUGCAUGAACAACUUGAGAUAUCAAUGCUUGUCUUAGAAACAUGAUCUUGUGUUUCUAGCUUCAGUUUGACAGAUCUUAACUAGAUGCAUCAUAUGCAAGGAACUGUCUUUAAUUGAACAUAUAUAAGACGCCCUAUCAUGCAUUAUUUCAUUAGAGAUUGCUUCUGAUUGCUGCUCUUUUGGUAUAAAAUGGUUGCGCAACAUGAUUUUGUUUUGUCCUUUCUAAUCUUCUAGUCAUUGUAAAUAAAUUUGAAGUUAAAGGUGAAAUUUUCGAAUCUCUAUAAAAUUGGAAUCAAAAUACAAAGCAAAAAAUGUCGCAUUGCUAACUUUCCGCUGAAUUCUCUCUAUUUACACCUUGAAUGAUUCCAUUCCUUAUCCAUUAACUUUUCACAGUACAUUGUACUUUUUGUUCUGAUCCAACUUAAGAAAUUCUAGUCAAGCUCACAUUGCUUGUCUUUUAGCUCAGGGUGCCCAUUAUCUACUAGUAACAAAUGUUGGUAUUGCUUUGGAAGAAGAGUUUGUGGACAGAGUUGUCUUUCAUAUUCACAGUUUUGUAAUUCACAUAUAUAGCAUAUUUCUUACUUUAACAAUAUUACUUUUUCCAGGUAUAUAAUAUUUAAAAUACUUCUAUCAUCUCCUACAAGUAAUUCCAGUUGGCUAGGUAGUUCACAUAUUACAGAAAAUAGUUAUGGUAGGAAAACAUACAUCUUUAUCAUGAGCAAAGGUACGUCUUUUCUCAUUGUCAAGGUUUCUUACUGAGCCUUUGGUCUUAUUAAUCUUAAUGUUGGACAUUUUUUCAUUAUAAAUUCACUUGACUCACUUGUAUUUUCGUUUUCUAAUUAUUUGAAGUCCUAUUGAAACCUGUGAAAUUUAAUUUACCUUUUAGGGACUCACAUUGGUAUUGCUUGGUUUUUAUUCCCUAUGUGCUAUUGAGCAUUUACAUUGUCACGAACUUAAAAUUCUCGAGUGUUUAUGAUAGCUUCAUGAGUGAGGUAAAAUUUUCCUUAUUUUUAACUACAAGAUACCAGAAAGUAUUGCUACUAUGUUAACAAUACUGUUUUUGAUAAAAAAGAAUUGCUACCAUGUUCUUAUAUUUGCCAUAGCACUGAUAUUUCUGUAGAUUUUGCACCUGCAUAUUUAUUUUUUCUUUUCCGAUUUUAGCUUUAAGUGGCUGAAAAUGAUCAAAUGAGGCUAAGGAUUUUGAAGAAAAGCAUUUAUGGUGAUCAAUAGUGUCGUGAGUUGGACACUUGACAACCUUUUCUCCAGUUAAUUAAGCUUCUAUAUAUUGUCUCCAUGCAGAAUAUGCUUCUCUUCCUUUAAACGGGGAAGAGAAACGACAGUAACAACUAUUAAUAAAAAAAUCUAUCAUAUCUCAUAUAGGCACCUUGUAAGUCACAUGUUGUUUCCUUAGUAUGUUCAUAGAUGAAAUAUGGAGAGAUCAUUCUUUUUAAUAAAAGUAAAAGUGAUGGAAAAUAUCCCGGUAUAAGAUGAUAUAUUUCAUUGAAAAUCAGAAAGAGGCACUUAAUACAGUUAGUUGCACAUGACUCUAUUUGACAAACCUCUUUCUGUAUUCUCAUAUGCAAAAACAGGUCGAUGAAAUGCUUAGCUGUUGAGAAUACAUAAUACAACUUUAAAAGUAAUCCCUUCCUUGCUCCCCGUCCCUGAAUAAUUACAAACAGGUCAUGUAUAUACCUACAUAUUGUAUGUGUCCAUGAGUGACAGAGAAGAAGGAAAUGGUAAAGCAGAAAGUACUUCCACAGUUUUUGUUUUAUCCAAAAAUUUAAUUGGUAAACAUUCUCUGAUUUAUAACGUUAGUUCCAUGUUAUGAUAAUACUGUUUGCCUCUCCCUAUGGAACUCAACCAAUUUCCAUCUUAGAUCCUGUGGUAUAAGUUCACAAAAUGAUUUCAUGUUGACCUUCAGUAUUUUUCAUCUCCACUCCUAAUAAAGUUUCUAAUGAGUCUGAUAAAUUUCACAUUAUAUUAGACGUAGAUGAACAAUUUAUUUUUGAAUAGAUUUCAUUUUUUGAGAAUAACUUGUUUUAUUAUUUCAGGUCAACACAACAUGAUGUUCAAAUAGCAUGUGGAAGAUUUCAAUACUAUGAGAUUUGCUAGAAUUGAAUGAAGGAUAUGCAUUUAGAAAUUUGUUAUUGCGAUUAUUCGAUAGGAAUAGUUACAAUGACAUUAGCUAUUUAGUUCUUUUUUAUUAAAUUGGCGUUACGAAUUAGUACUUGCUUUUGUUUAUCUUGAGUUAAUGAAUACAAUAUUUUUUCAAGAAUUAUAGUAGCAAGUUUUAUUAGCAUUUACCAUUAUAAUUGUCACAAGUUUUUUUAGUAAUUCCAUUCUAGAAAUGGGUUUAGAAGGUAUUACAAUAGUCGCUGCACAAUAGCUGCUAAAGCAUGUAACGUUUAGUAGCUAUUUAUUUGGUUUUGGCGACAAUAAAUAUAGACGCUAAAAGUGUUAAUCGAACCAUUUUGGGAAUGAGUUUAGCUGAAAUUUUAUUGGAUUUAGCGGCAAUUUGAUUGAACGCUAAAAGGUUGCUCGAGUAA